CCUACGGGAGACAGCAGUGAGGAAUAGUGGUCAAGGGGCGCGAGCCUGAACCAGCCAAGUAGCGUGAAGGAUGACUGCCCUACGGGGGGUAAACUUCUUUUAUAAAGGAAUAAAGUGAGGCACGUGGGCCGUUUUGUAUGUACGUUAUGAAUAAGGAUCGGCGAACUCCGUGCCAUCCGCCGCGGUAAUACGGAGGAUCCGAGCGUUAUCCGGAUUUCUUGGGUGUACAGGGAGCGUAGAGGGGUUGUUAAGUCAGUUGUGAAAGUUUGCGGCUCCACCGUAAAAUUGCCCUUGAUACUGGCAGCCUUGCGUACAGUUGCGGUAGGCGUACUUC
rnacentral:rRNA from 1 species